rnacentral:rRNA from 1 species
GACGAACGCUUGCGGCGUGCUUAACACAUGCAAGUCGAACGAUGAAGCUAGAGCUUGCUCUGCUGAAUUAGUGGCGAACGCGUGAGUAAGACGUGAGUAACCUGCCCCGAACUCUGGGAUAACUGCUGGAAGCGGUAGCUAAUACUGGAUACGGCCUACGAAGGCAUCUUCUGUAGGUGGACAGAAUUUCGAUUCGGGAUGGACUCGCGGCCUAUCAGUUUGUGGGGGAGGGAAUGGCUCACCAAGGCGACGACGGGUAGCCGGCCUGAGAGGGUGACCGGCCACACUGGGACUGGGACACGGCCCAGACUCCUACGGGAGGCAGCAGUGGGGAAUAUUGCACAAUGGGCGCAAGCCUGAGGCAGCAACGCCGCGUGAGGGAUGACGGCCUUCGGGCUGUAAACCUCUUUUAGUAGGGAAGAAGCGAAAGUGACGGUACCUGCAGAAAAAGCACCGGCUAACUACGUGCCAGCCGCCGACGUAA